GUGAAGGGGGUUGAGCUCUGAGGCUGGCCAGGUGGAAGGAGGUGAGGUUCCGAAACGGUGAAGGCCCCUCCCAGCCUGCAGGCACUACCUCGUGAAACAUGACACCUUGGACAAGGACUGGUUACCCGGAGACAGUGAGCAAUCCGGUACUGACUUGGCGCGGCUCUAACCGCCAAGGCAAGUGAUCCCUGGUACUGAGCCUGACUUACAAGGAGUGAUGCACUCAACACUGACGCCCGUCAGCACCCGGAAUACCUGGCCUGGGAUCAUGGAGCAAGCAAGGCUCACCCCAGACAGAACUGCAGCAUGGAUAGGUGGCUGUGCAAUGCACCCACAAUACAGUCUUCUCACCAAGGCCGGUGACCUGUCGGUCUGUCUGUCCCUGCUGUCUCCGGCCGGUGCAUAAACUCCUGGGGCUCUGUUCCAUGCCUGCUUGCCCUGAGGUGCAACGUCUAGCUCUCUACACCAUGCAUACACAACGCCAGUGGAAGGAAUCAACUUUGCAGCAUUUGGUGGGGGAAAUAAAUCCCUAAUUGGAAUCUGA